rnacentral:rRNA from 1 species
UACGAAGGGGGCUAGCGUUGCUCGGAAUCACUGGGCGUAAAGCGCACGUAGGCGGAUUGCUAAGUCAGGGGUGAAAUCCUCCGGCUCAACCGGAGAACUGCCUUUGAUACUGGUCAUCUCGAGUGAGGUAGGGGCAUGCGGAACUGAUGGUGGAGCGGUGAAAUGUGUUGAUAUCAUCAGGAACUCCGGUGGCGAAAGCGGCGUGCUGGACCUUUACUGACGCUGAUGCGCGAAAGCCAGGGGAGCGAACGGG